AUUGAGCGACCGAUAGUGAACCAGUACUGUGAAGGAAAGGUGAAAAGCACUCCGAAUAGGAGGGUGAAAUAGAACCUGAAACCAUGCGCUUACAAGCGGUCGGAGCUUCGUAAUGGAGUGACGGCGUGCCUUUUGCAUAAUGAGCCUACGAGUUACUGUCACUGGCGAGGUUAAUUCACUUAAGUGGAGGAUCCGAAGCGAAAGCGAGUCUGAAUAGGGCGAAUAGUCAGUGGUAGUAGACGCGAAACUUUGUGAUCUACCCUUGGUCAGGAUGAAGCCCCGUUAACCCGGGGUGGAGGUCCGAACUAUUGAGCGUUGAAAAGCUCUUGGAUGAACUGAGGGUAGGGGUGAAAGGCUAAUCAAACUGAGAAAUAGCUCGUACUCCCCGAAAUGUUUUUAGGAACAGUGUGAGGGUUGAGUUUAGUACAGGUAGAGCUACCAAUUGGACUAGGGGGAGUCACAUCCUACCAAAUCCAGAUGAACUCCGAAUGGUACUAAAUAUACCUUGCAAUGAGGGCAUGGGUGCUAAGGUCCGUGUCCGAGAGGGAAAGAACCCAGACCUGCAGCUAAGGUCCCCAAAUCUAUACUAAGUUGAACUAAGGCGGUCCAGUUGCUGAGACAGCCAGGAUGUUGGCUUGGAAGCAGCCAUUCAUUUAAAGAGUGCGUAACAGCUCACUGGUCGAGCGACAGGGCAUCGAUAAUAAUCGGGCAUAAAGUAUAGUACCGAAGCUCAGGAUUGAUACAGCGAUGUAUCAGUGGUAGGGGAGCAUUCCGAAUGCGGCGAAGGUGAGUUGUAAGACUUGCUGGAGUAAUCGGAAAAGCAAAUGUAGGCAUAAGUAACGAUAAUGCUGGUGAGAAACCGGCACACCGAUAGACUAAGGGUUCCGCGGCAAUGUUAAUCAACCGCGGGUAAGUCGGGGCCUAAUCAAAAGCCGAGAGGCGUAUGAGAUGGACAACUGGUUAAUAUUCCAGUACUACCUUAUAGAGUGAAGGAGAGACGGAGAAGUGAAAGUCUUGCGGCCUUACGGAAUAGGCCGUUUAAGGGUGUAGUUAAAUAUCUGACAGGCAAAUCCGUUAGAUAUGGCGAACCUGAAAGUAGCGGGAGGCUUCGGCCGACUGCAGUAGACGUAAGCAUGCUUCCGAGAAAAUCUUCUAAGCGUUAAUCUAUAAGGUACCCGUACCGCAAACCGACACAGGUGGUCAAGGAGAAUAUCCUGAGGCGCUCGAGUGAUCCGUGGCUAAGGAACUCGGCAAAAUAACCCUGUAACUUCGGGAGAAGGGGAGUCCCGCGCAAGCGGGAUCGCAGAGAAAUGGCCCAGGCGACUGUUUAACAAAAACACAUGGCUAUGCGAAAUCGAAAGAUGAGGUAUAUGGCCUGACACCUGCCCGGUGCUGGAAGGUUAAGGGGGGAUGUUAGUCAGCAAUGGCGAAGCAUUGAACUGAAGCCCCAGUAAACGGCGGCCGUAACUAUAACGGUCCUAAGGUAGCGAAAUUCCUUGUCGGGUAAGUUCCGACCUGCACGAAUGGUGUAACGAUCUGGGCGCUGUCUCAGCCGCGAGCUCGGUGAAAUUGUAGUAACGGUGAAGAUGCCGUUUACCCGUCACGGGACGGAAAGGCCCCAUGAACCUUUACUAUAGCUUCACAUUGGUAUUGCUAUCGUGACUGGGAAA
rnacentral:rRNA from 1 species